rnacentral:rRNA from 1 species
UGUCCGGAUUUACUGGGUGUAAAGGGUGCGUAGGCGGCUUUGCAAGUCAGAUGUGAAAUCUAUGGGCUCAACCCAUAAACUGCAUUUGAAACUGUAGAGCUUGAGUGAAGUAGAGGCAGGCGGAAUUCCCCGUGUAGCGGUGAAAUGCGUAGAGAUGGGGAGGAACACCAGUGGCGAAGGCGGCCUGCUGGGCUUUAACUGACGCUGAGGCACGAAAGCGUGGGUAGCAAACAGGAUUAGAUACCCUGGUAGUCCACGCUGUAAACGAUGAUUACUAGGUGUGGG